rnacentral:rRNA from 1 species
UACGUAGGCAGCGAGCGUUGUUCGGAGUUACUGGGCGUAAAGGGUGUGUAGGCGGUUCUUUAAGUUUGGUGUGAAAUCUCCCGGCUCAACCGGGAGGGUGCGCCGAAUACUGAGGGACUAGAGUGCGGGAGAGGAAAGUGGAAUUCCUGGUGUAGCGGUGAAAUGCGUAGAUAUCAGGAGGAACACCGGUGGUGUAGACGGCUUUCUGGUCUGUAACUGACGCUGAGGCGCGAAAGCGUGGGGAGCAAACAGG